GUGGCUUCGGCUGCUGCUGUUGCAUUCUGUGAUGACUCUGGAUAACUUUACUGAUCGCAGUCGGCCUUGAGUCGGCGACGGAUCUUUCAAAUGUCUGCCCUAUCAAUUUUCGAUGGUAGGUGACCUGCCUACCAUGGUGAUAACGGGUAACGGGGAAUCAGGGUUCGAUUCCGGAGAGGGAGCCUGAGAAACGGCUACCACUUCCAAGGAAGGCAGCAGGCGCGCAAAUUACCCAAUCCCGGCACGGGGAGGUAGUGACGAAAAAUACGGAUACGGGACUCGUUAGAGGCUCCGUAAUUCGAAUGAGUACACUUUAAAUCCUUUAACGAGGAUCAACUGGAGGGCAAGUCUGGUGCCAGCAGCCGCGGUAACUCCAGCUCCAGAAGCGUAUAUUAAAGUUGUUGCAGUUAAAAAGCUCGUAGUUGGAUCUGGGUCGCAUGGCUACAUGCUGUUGCUUGUAUUCCUGGCCUGGUUUACACUGGGACGGGUUUACGGGUCGGCGUCGUGGUUGUGCAGCCUUUCUGCCGUGUCUGUUUCGACAGGUGUUGGCAUGAUUGGUGGGUUCGUCCUGCCGGUCUGUUGACAUGCUCCCAGGUGCCCUUUACUGGGUGUCGGGGGCGGACGGCACGUUUACUUUGAACAAAUUUGAGUGCUCAAAGCAGGCCCAUGUGCCUGAAAAGUCUUGCAUGGAAUAAUGGAAUAGGACUUCGGUUCUAUUUUGUUGGUUUUCGGAUCCGAAGUAAUGGUUAAAAGGGACAGACGGGGGCAUUUGUAUGGCGGUGUUAGAGGUGAAAUUCUUGGAUCGCCGCCAGACAAACUACAGCGAAAGCAUUUGCCAAGGAUGUUUUCAUUGAUCUGGAGCGAAAGUCAGAG
rnacentral:rRNA from 1 species